GCUAACAUGACAUGGUUGAUACCAAUGGAUUCCUUAGGUUUUUCUAGUUUCAUAUGAUAUCUUCACUAUCGCUAACAUGGAGUCCUCUACAGCCUCUGAAAUUUAGGUGUGCUUGAGCACCCCUAAAAAGAGUCUAAAAUUGAUAAAUUUAUAUUCUCAUCUCACUCUGGAGGAGAAAAUGAACAAGCGUUAUCCCCCAAAAUGUUCAAACUGUUCCUUUAAUGUGGAGUGAAAUGAAGCCUUCAAAUUGUGAGCAAUAACUCCUGAUAGUAAAGUUGUGAGGGGCCGAAUGCACCAGCUAGCAUGGUGUCAGCUGAAGAUGGAAGACACCUGGGGGUGGAUGAAUUAUUUUAUCUUAUUUAUUAACUGUGUGGAUGUGUCUGUGAGAGAGAAGAGACAACGUAUGAGAGUGUGUACAUUGUUGUAAUAGUUUUGACUUUUGUUAAGUGUUAUGUAUUGUGUUAUUUAAUGGGAAAAUCCACCCAAAACACUGUUGUCAGGCUAUUAAAUAGGCGUUAUCAGUCGCUAUAAGCGCCAGAGAUGUGGGUAAACAGGGGCCUAAUACACCCACUAGUAGGUUUUAUCAUCUAUUCACAAGGUAGAUAAUCAGGUGCUGUAGUAUAGACAGUGGGAAACUCCAUAAAGGAUGGAGUUUGCAUCCCGUGUGAAACCAACAAUGUGUAGUUGUCUUUGGGUUCGUAGUUAUUGUAACCCAAAACACGAUGUUUGUGCACGGUGUUUUUUUGCCUAAACUUAAAGAAGUUGUAGGUUUAUUGCCUAAAUGUUAGAAUGUGUUGCCUUUAAGUUUCACUUUCACUUUUACAUCGUAGUAGGCGUAGUAGGCCCCUAAUGACCCACAUCUAUGGUGCUUAUAGCGACUGAUAACGCCUAUUUAAUGGCCUGAUAACAAUCGAAUCGGGUACAGCAACAAUUUUUAAACAAACAGGUAGCAGGACAGGGAUGUUUUUUCUUCUUCUUCUUGUAGAUAACUGGCAUAAUUUCAGACGCCGUGACAUGAUGUUCAGAUAUUUCCAGCAGCAGAAAAUGCCAGUCUGGUUGCAGAAAAUAUUUAAGCGAUCUAAAACAAAUUAGAAAACGUUCUGGUGUCAACCCACCAAAAGUUGAAACUGACCUUCAACAUCCACACAGGUAGAAAUCUGCUAAGAGGAGGAAAAACAGAUGUCGAGGCAGACGAUAUGAGAUCUAACAGUGUGGGUGGAUGAUGGUGGAUUCUUCCUUUAAAGGAUAACGCUGGUGUUACUCUGAAUUUCAACAAAUCCCAUAAAAAGACCAAAACCUACAAAGUCCGUCUCUCAAUACUUUCUGACUUCCUGUCUACUGAAGUCAAUUGGUUCCUAUUGAAAAUGUGAAUCUUUAAAUACACAGAUAUAUUGUAAUUUCCUAAAACAGCCGGUCACUGUAUUAUCAAACAAACAGGAGGAAAUAGUGCAUUUGUUGGGGACUAUUUUCACUAAUCCACAUUAAGUGCUCUAGUGAGUAUUUGUGGCAGCAGGACGGUGUACGUGGGAUUGAGUCAAAAUAAACUACAGAGUGUUUGUUCAUGGUGAUGAACUAACAUGGCGCCCAGUGACAGUCAGGCUCACCGAUGUGUUUUUAGACAACAACGGAGCUCUAUGGCACAGAGGAAGAAGAUAUAUCAGGCUUUUAUACACACACAAUACUUGUUAGUAGAUGCAUUCACUGUUGGUUUGAGUCUGAACAUGAGAUUUGUUGUCAGUAGGAAAAGUAUCACCAGAUGGAUCCUUUAAGCUUUCAAACAAGUCUGCUAAAAACGGACGGUUUCUUAUGUCUUUUAUUUUGAGACAAGGUGCUUAUCACAGGCUGCAAGUUCUUCACUUUGUGUUACAUUUGUGCCGCCACAACUCUUACUCUUUUUUUUCUCUCUCUGAAGUGCAUGGCUAGAUUCAUUUUGCCAAAUAUGAUCUGUAUGUUUGUGUUUUUGUUAAGAUAUCUCAAUGCAUAAACCUUGCUGUUUUGUUAUGUGUUGAACUAAGGAGUAUAAAGUGUCUUUGUGAAUAAAACAGUAUACUGAAACAAUA